GGUGGCUCAGUGUUAGAGCGCUUGCCUUGCAUGCAUGAAGCCCUGGGUUCAAUUCCUCAGCACCA
rnacentral:tRNA from 1 species